UCUCCCUUUUUGUUGCGGGGAUUGAAAACAUCAUUAUGAGAUUUUAUUAUGGACUUAAUUACAUACCGUUCUGCUGAGGAUGAAACAUGAUUACAACAGAAAAAAAUAACCGCCAACUAAGUAGGUCAAGUUGUACUAAAUUGUAUCACAAUUACCUUCACAACCUGAUUCCUAACAAUAUACAUCUUACUUAUCUCUUCAUUCCAUUAUUAAAGGUUGCUGGCAAUUUGCCCCACUUUGUCUGAACUAAAUUAUCACCAAAGAAAAACGAAAAAAGUUGAAAUAAUGGAGUGAAGAAAAUAUGCAAAAUUCACGUUAUCGUAUGCAUUUCUGCCUUCACUCAAAUGCAUUCAUCAUUAUGAGAGAAUGAACCAGCCCCAAAAAGCAAGGGAAAUUAGGUAUUUGAUUCUGAUUGCCGUCACCUGCCGUCACCAACAUUUUAGCCGGAUCAGAUCAAAUUAAAGUUGGGUUUUAAAAAAAAUUCAAACACUCACUCAAAUAAUCUAUUUUUUUAUUUUAAAAUAUUACAUAAUAUUGUUCUUUCAAUAAAGAAAAUCUAAAAGCUUUGGGAUAUGAAAAGAACUUACUAGUUUUUUGGAUUACAUAAUAAAUCUUAAAGCUUGUCGACGUAACGUGUGAAAUAAUCGAACUAUUCUCCCAACGGUACGUGGGUGGCACCAACACCACAUCAAGUGCCGACUAGUUACGUACAUAGGUCGACGACAAUGGCCGGCCGUGCUUUCUUGGCCUCCCCUUGCCGUCAUACUUGAUUUAUGCAAGCAUGCACUUUCCACCUAACUUCCCUCUUUGGUCUUAUCUGAUGUACGCGUUUCUUUGUUGGGCG
rnacentral:lncRNA from 1 species